rnacentral:rRNA from 1 species
GUGUCAGCAGCCGCGGUAAUACGGAGGAUGCAAGCGUUAUCCGGAUUCAUUGGGUUUAAAGGGUGCGUAGGCGGCCUUUUAAGUCAGUGGUGAAAUCUUGCCGCUUAACGGUAAAAUUGCCAUUGAUACUGAAAGGCUUGAGUACAUUUGAGGUAAGCGGAAUGUGUAGUGUAGCGGUGAAAUGCUUAGAUAUUACACAGAACACCAAUUGCGAAGGCAGCUUACUAAACUGUUACUGACGCUGAUGCACGAAAGCGUGGGGAGCGAACAGGAUUAGAAACCCUCGUAGUCC